UACAGAGGUCUCGAGCGUUGUUCGGAUUCAUUGGGCGUAAAGGGUGCUUAGGUGGCGCUGUAAGUCGGGUGUGAAAUCCUGAGGCUUAACCUCGGAACUGCAUUCGAUACUGCGGCGCUUGAGGACUGGAGAGGAGACUGGAAUUCAUGGUGUAGCAGUGAAAUGCGUAGAGAUCAUGAGGAAGACCAGUGGCGAAGGCGGGUCUCUGGACAGUUCCUGACACUGAGGCACGAAGGCCAGGGGAGCAAACGGG
rnacentral:rRNA from 1 species